rnacentral:rRNA from 1 species
CUACGGGCCGCUGCAGUUAGGAAUAUUCUACAAUGCGCGCAAGCGUGAUAGAUUGAGUCAGAGUGCGCUUCAAUUUGGAGUGCUUUUGUGAAAUCUAAAAAGUUUCACGAAUAAGGACUGGGUAAGACGAGUGCCAGCCGCCGCGGUAAUACUCGCGGUCCAAGUCGCAGCCAUUUUUAUUGGGUCUAAAACAUCCGUAGCUUGCUUCUUAAGUUCCUUGUGAAAUUUUGUGUCUCAAAUACAGAGCGUGCAAGGAGUACUGGGAAGCUAGAGACUGGGAGACGUAAGAAGUACGUUCAAAGUAGCGGUUAAAUGUGUUAAUCUUGAACGGACUAACAACAGCGAAGGCAUCUUACGAGAACAGUUCUGACAGUCAGGGAUGAAGGCUAGGGGCGCAAAACGGAUUAGAUACCCGAGUAGUC